rnacentral:rRNA from 1 species
GACGAACGCUGGCGGCGUGCCUAAUACAUGCAAGUCGAGCGAAGUUUUUCUGGUGCUUGCACUAGAAAAACUUAGCGGCGAACGGGUGAGUAACACGUAAAGAACCUGCCUCAUAGACGGGGACAACUAUUGGAAACGAUAGCUAAUACCGGAUAACAGCAUAAAUCGCAUGAUAUAUGUUUAAAAGUUGGUUUCGGCUAACACUAUGAGAUGGCUUUGCGGUGCAUUAGCUAGUUGGUGGGGUAAAGGCCUACCAAGGCGACGAUGCAUAGCCGACCUGAGAGGGUGAUCGGCCACACUGGGACUGAGACACGGCCCAGACUCCUACGGGAGGCAGCAGUAGGGAAUCUUCCGCAAUGGGCGAAAGCCUGACGGAGCAACGCCGCGUGAGUGAAGAAGGAUUUCGGUUCGUAAAGCUCUGUUGUUAGGGAAGAAUGAUUGUAUAGUAACUAUAUACAGUAGAGACGGUACCUA